UACGAAGGGUCCUAGCGUUGUUCGGAAUUACUGGGCGUAAAGGGCGCGUAGGCGGCUUACUAAGUCAGGUGUGAAAGCCCCGAGCUUAACUUGGGAACUGCACUUGAUACUGGUAGGCUAGAGAUCGGAAGAGGUGAGUGGAAUUCCUAGUGUAGAGGUGAAAUUCGUAGAUAUUAGGAAGAACACCAGUGGCGAAGGCGACUCACUGGUCCGAUACUGACGCUAAGGCGCGAAAGCGUGGGGAGCAAACAGG
rnacentral:rRNA from 1 species